rnacentral:rRNA from 1 species
AUGGUCAGUACUGCAACCCUCUUGUCUUCCUGUCCCUCCCUGCAUGGUGGUCGCUGUCAGCAUCAUGGUUUAGGGUGCCUUUCGUCCCGCUUGUAUGGAUGGAUAGGCUGGUGUGUUUUGUUCUUUCUUUCUUUGUUGCCACGUAGGUUGCAGGACGAGGUGCACACCUACACAAUGAGAAGUGCAUAUGCCGACUCAUCCUGGAGACCAAAACUUCAAAACCGCCACAUACACGUAAUCAAGGCAGAUGUUAACAAAAAAAUUAACUUUUUUGAUUUGAUUUUGUUUGGCUUGUUUAUCAAUUGUCUCUUACUAUUUCCUGAUAUUUCCUCAGUUUGGCCCUGA